UACGUAGGGUGCGAGCGUUAAUCGGAAUUACUGGGCGUAAAGCGUGCGCAGGCGGUUCGUUAUGUCCGAUGUGAAAGCCCCGAGCUCAACUUGGGAAUGGCAUUGGAAACUGGCGGGCUGGAGUGUGGCAGAGGGGGGUGGAAUUCCACGUGUAGCAGUGAAAUGCGUAGAUAUGCGGAGGAACACCGAUGGCGAAGGCAGCCUCCUGGGAUAACACUGACGCUCAUGCACGAAAGCGUGGGGAGCAAACAGG
rnacentral:rRNA from 1 species